GAGCCCAGUUGGAGAGCUCUCUCGCUCCACACGUUUCACGGGUGUGCGUGAGGGUUCCAGGUUCGGACCUGUAAUAAAGAUCCUCGCUGCUUGGCUUUGACUCUGGACUCUGGUGGUCUUCUCCGGGGAAUAAACGGUCUGGGCAUAACACAUGACAAUCCCAAAAGGUACUGAAAGUUAAGAACAUUGCUUAGAGGAAAAGAUGGUAUGACUUCAUACUCAGUGCCUCAUUAUCCCAUACUGCAGUUUGGCUUUGAACCACCAAUCCCAGAAGACACUAUCGUAUUAUUCUCCAAUAAAUCUUUUGUACUUUAAACUUCAUCUCAGCUUCUUCAUCCUGGAGAACCCAAGGCAACACAAGGAAUAUUUGAUGAAACUAAGGCAAAGUGGGAAUGACAUCUGAGGGCUGGUUGCAGAAGAUAUUCUGAACGCCAUAGAAGAAAAUAAGAGCUGAACUUUAACAAGAAAGUAUGCAGAAAUAUCUUCCGUGGAGGAGGUCAUAGAGAAUGCAUGAAGAUGCCAAACACCCAGAAAAGACAGUGGAAUAAUUCAGUCUGAGUCUGAAGGCCUGGGAACCAGGGAAACUGAUGGUGUAAACUGGAGUCCAAAAGCAGGAGAAGAUGAAAUGAGAUGUCUGAACUCAAUCGUGAGGAAGGAAUAAGAGGGAGAAUCUCUCCUUCCUCUGCUUUUUGCUUUAUUCAGGCCCACAAUGGAUUGGGUGAUGCCCAUUCACAUUGAGGAGCAAGCACCUCACCCACCUCGUCGAGAUUCUGUACCCGUUGGAGAUUCUCUACUUGAUGUGGCAGAGGAAACCCAAAGUGGCUAGGUGGCAACAUUAACUUCUAAUUCGAAGAAAUAAUAGUUGUUUCUGUUGGUGGAAACAUUUCUCCCUCUGGAACUAAGACCUAUACUCCAGGAAGGAAUAAUACCAUAAGAACAAAGAGAAAAAAACAAUCUCUAAUGCCUUACCAGACAUAAUAAAACACCACCAUAUAUUGAAAACUGAUUCAAAGCAUAUACAGUUUUCUGAAGAACUUUGCUGCAGUCCUGAAGGAUAUUGCCAUCCAGACAGCACUCUAACUGAGACUUUAAAAUUUUAUCAAGAUUUGUACCAAGAUUUUAUCAAGCCAGCCGAUUCUGCAUGGUUGGGAAGAAUGCAAAAACCUGUGAAUUCCAUGAAUGUGGGCCCAUUGCCACAAUUCUUUGGGUAUGAAAUUAGUUCCUUGAUCAGGAGCAAUGCUUCGUGGAAUACCUUGAUGAUAGAUAAAGCAUUCUGAGGUCCACAAAUGAUAGUUUGCACUGAAAAACUGCAUGCAGGGAAGGAAAAUUCCUAUCCAAAGUAAGUAUCUAUUCCAGUAAAAAUGAAAGGCUGCCCCUUUCUUGAUGGAAAAAGUAUAAAGCAAUCAACCUGCCACCAGACUAAUCAUACUAUCAGGGGCUUGAUGUUGGUACGUGUUGCUGGCAAAUUGGGUACUUCUAUUUAGUGGCUGU